GUCUGAUUGAUCAGACAGUCUUGAUGAGAUCAGAUCUUGGCUGUCUGAUGGAAAUCAACGGCCUGUAACCAUGGUCCUGCGGUACGCGCGCGACACUGGAUCCGCGUCCAUUGAUGGUAAUUUGGUUAAUUAAUUAAAAAGAAUGGGUAUUUUGGUCCAACUGAAAAGGUGCACUUUGCUAAUUUAGACCCAACUGGGUCUAAGUUAGCAGCCCC
rnacentral:lncRNA from 1 species